UUCUGCUGUGACUGAUUGGUAUCGAAAAGAUCUUAUGGUGGUGGUGUCCUGGCCAGACAUCUCCAAUAAUUAGUAUUAAGCGAGGCAGUACCAGUGUGAGGUUGCAGCAGUAAUGAGUAAGAUUGAAAAUGGAAAAGAUAGGUGCAAUCAAAGUGGAGAUCGACUGUAGAGGAUUGAUCGAUACCCUCUUGUGCAAGGGGGAGUAGUUUACAUGGAGGAUGCCAGUGGAAGCUCAGUGUGAGGUGGAGCUUCAAAUGAAGAUGGAUCGGGCAUGGGACCAGAGACUCGAGAGGAUGAG
rnacentral:lncRNA from 1 species